CCAAUAGCGUAUAUUAAAGUUGUUGCAGUUAAAAAGCUCGUAGUUGAAUUUCGGGGUCUAUCCGUUGGUCGGGCUUUUGGGUCCGUACUGGCGUUAUGGAUUCCUACCUUCUGAAUAACCGGCAUGCUAUUAAUUUGGUGCGCUGGGGAAGCAGGACUGUUACCUUGAAAAAAUUAGAGUGCUUAAAGCAGGCUAUUUCCUGAAUACAUUAGCAUGGAAUAAUGAAAUAGGACGGCAUGGUUCUAUUUUGUUGGUUUCUAGGAUCACCGUAAUGAUUAAUAGGGAUAGUUGGGGGGCAUUAGUAUUCAAUUGUCAGAGGUGAAAUUCUUGGAUUUAUUGAAGACUAACUUCUGCGAAAGCAUUUGCCAAGGAUGUUUUCAUUAAUCAAGAACGAAAGUUAGGGGAUCGAAGACGAUCAGAUACCGUCGUAGUCUUAACCAUAAACUAUGCCGACUAGGGAUCGGACGAUGUUAAUUUUUUAAUGACUCGUUCGGCGCCUUACG
rnacentral:rRNA from 1 species